AUUGAACGCUGGCGGCAGGCCUAACACAUGCAAGUCGAACGAGUGGCGGACGGGUGAGUAAUGUCUGGGAAACUGCCAGAUGGAGGGGGAUAACUACUGGAAACGGUAGAUAAUACCGCAUACCAUCGGAUGUGCCCAGAUGGGAUUAGCUGGUAGGUAAGGUAACGGCUUACCUGGGCGACGAUCCCUAGCUGGUCUGAGAGGAUGAUCAGCCACACUGGUACUGAGACACGGCCCAGACUCCUCCGGGAGGCUGCAGUGGGGAAUAUUGCACCAUGGGCGCAAGCCUGGUGUAGCCAUGCCGCGUGGGUGAUGAAGGCCUUCGGGUUGUAAAGUACUUUCAGGCGGGAGGCGUUACCGACAGAAGAAGCACCGGCUAACUCCGUGCCAGCAGCCGCGGUAAUAC
rnacentral:rRNA from 1 species